UACGUAGGGGGCAAGCGUUGUCCGGAUUGACUGGGCGUAAAGCGCACGCAGGCGGUUGCGCGCGUGGGGUGUGAAAUCUGGCCGCUUAACGGCCAGGCGCCAUCCCAUACGGCGCGACUGGAGUGAUGCAGAGGUCGAUGGAAUUGCCGGUGUAGUGGUGAAAUGCGUAGAGAUCGGGCAGGAACACCCAGGGGGAAACCAGUCGACUGGGCAUCUACUGACGCUGAGGUGCGAGAGCGUGGGGAGCGAACCGG
rnacentral:rRNA from 1 species